UAGGGAAUCUUCGGCAAUGGACGAAAGUCUGACCGAGCAACGCCGCGUGAGUGAAGAAGGUUUUCGGAUCGUAAAACUCUGUUGUUAGAGAAGAACAAGGACGUUAGUAACUGAACGUCCCCUGACGGUAUCUAACCAGAAAGCCACGGCUAACUACGUGCCAGCAGCCGCGGUAAUACGUAGGUGGCAAGCGUUGUCCGGAUUUAUUGGGCGUAAAGCGAGCGCAGGCGGUUUCUUAAGUCUGAUGUGAAAGCCCCCGGCUCAACCGGGGAGGGGCAUUGGAAACUGGGGGACUUGAGUGCAGAAGAGGAGAGUGGAAUUCCAUGUGUAGCGGUGAAAUGCGUAGAUAUAUGGAGGAACACCAGUGGCGAAGGCGGCUCUCUGGUCUGUAACUGACGCUGAGGCUCGAAAGCGUGGGGAGCAAACAGG
rnacentral:rRNA from 1 species